UUUCCGUAGGUGAACCUGCGGAAGGGUCAUUGUCAAAACCU
rnacentral:rRNA from 1 species